AGGGUUUGAUCCUGGCUCAGAACGAACGUUGGCGGCGUGGAUGAGGCAUGCAAGUCGAACGCGAAAGCCCUCGGGCAAGUAGCGUGGCGGACGGGUGAGUAACACGUAAUCAAGCUACCUGGCAGACAGGGAUAACUUCGGGAAACCGGAGAUAAUACCUGAUGGUCUCGCGGCACCGCAUGGUGCUGCGUGUAAAUGGACGGGAUCCUCCGGGAUCGUCUGCUGCUAGAGGUGAUUGCGGCCCAUCAGCUUGUUGGUAGGGUAAUGGCCUACCAAGGCGACGACGGGUAGCCGGCCUAAGAGGGUGGUCGGUCACACUGGGACUGAGACACUGCCCAGACUCCUACGGGAGGCUGCAGUCGAGAAUCUUCCGCAAUGGACGAAAGUCUGACGGAGCGACGCCGCGUGGAGGACGAAGGCCUUCGGGUUGUAAACUCCUGUCACGAGUUAAGAAGUGUAUGCCAUUAAUACCGGCAUGCAUUGACGAAGGCUCGGAAGGAAGCACUGGCUAACUCUGUGCCAGCAGCCGCGGUAAUACAGAGAGUGCGAACGUUGUUCGGAAUUACUGGGCUUAAAGCGUACGUAGGCGGCGUGACAAGUGUCGGGUGAAAGCCCACGGCUUACCCGUGGAAUUGCCCGGCAAACUGUCAUGCUAGAGUGUGGUAGGGGAGAACAGAACUCAUGGUGGAGCGGUGAAAUGCGUAGAUAUCAUGAGGAAUACCGGUGGCGAAGGCGGUUCUCUGGUCCACAACUGACGCUGAGGUACGAAAGCUAGGGUAGCGAACGGGAUUAGAUACCCCGGUAGUCCUAGCCGUAAACGAUGGGUACUAGCUUGGGGGAUCCCUGUGUUCUUCCAGGUGAAGCAAAAGUGAUAAGUACCCCGCCUGGGGAGUAUGGUCGCAAGGCUGAAACUCAAAGGAAUUGACGGGGGCUCACACAAGCGGUGGAGCAUGU
rnacentral:rRNA from 1 species